rnacentral:rRNA from 1 species
CCUACGGGAGGCAGCAGUGGGGAAUAUUGCGCAAUGGGCGAAAGCCUGACGCAGCGACGCCGCGUGAGGGAUGAAGGCCUUCGGGUUGUAAACCUCUUUCAGCAGGGACGAAGCGCAAGUGACGGUACCUGCAGAAGAAGCACCGGCUAACUACGUGCCAGCAGCCGCGGUAAUACGUAGGGUGCAAGCGUUGUCCGGAUUUAUUGGGCGUAAAGAGCUCGUAGGCGGUCUGUCGCGUCGGAUGUGAAAACCCAGGGCUCAACCCUGGGCCUGCAUUCGAUACGGGCAGACUUGAGUAUUGCAGGGGAGACUGGAAUUCCUGGUGUAGCGGUGAAAUGCGCAGAUAUCAGGAGGAACACCGGUGGCGAAGGCGGGUCUCUGGGCAAUAACUGACGCUGAGGAGCGAAAGCGUGGGGAGCGAACAGGGUUAGAUACCCUGGUAGUCCACGCCGUAAACGGUGGGCGCUAGGUGUAGGGAACCUUCCACGUUCUCUGUGCCGCNGCUACGCAUAAGUCGCCCGCCGUCGGGAGGUACGGCCGGCCGAGGACGUAAACGUAACUAAAGUAGAAGUUAGUACGGCGUUGAACGUUGCGACGGACGACGACGAGGGAGGAGG